rnacentral:rRNA from 1 species
GGCGUGCUUAACACAUGCAAGUCGAACGAUGAAGCCCAGCUUGCUGGGUGGAUUAGUGGCGAACGGGUGAGUAACACGUGAGUAACCUGCCCUUAACUCUGGGAUAAGCCUGGGAAACUGGGUCUAAUACCGGAUAGGAGCGUCCACCGCAUGGUGGGUGUUGGAAAGAUUUAUCGGUUUUGGAUGGACUCGCGGCCUAUCAGCUUGUUGGUGAGGUAAUGGCUCACCAAGGCGACGACGGGUAGCCGGCCUGAGAGGGUGACCGGCCACACUGGGACUGAGACACGGCCCAGACUCCUACGGGAGGCAGCAGUGGGGAAUAUUGCACAAUGGGCGCAAGCCUGAUGCAGCGACGCCGCGUGAGGGAUGACGGCCUUCGGGUUGUAAACCUCUUUCAGUAGGGAAGAAGCGAAAGUGACGGUACCUGCAGAAGAAGCACCGGCUAACUACGUGCCAGCAGCCGCGGUAAUACGUAGGGUGCGAGCGUUAUCCGGAAUUAUUGGGCGUAAAGAGCUCGUAGGCGGUUUGUCGCGUCUGUCGUGAAAGUCCGGGGCUUAACCCCGGAUCUGCGGUGGGUACGGGCAGACUAGAGUGCAGUAGGGGAGACUGGAAUUCCUGGUGUAGCGGUGGAAUGCGCAGAUAUCAGGAGGAACACCGAUGGCGAAGGCAGGUCUCUGGGCUGUAACUGACGCUGAGGAGCGAAAGCAUGGGGAGCGAACAGGAUUAGAUACCCUGGUAGUCCAUGCCGUAAACGUUGGGCACUAGGUGUGGGGACCAUUCCACGGUUUCCGCGCCGCAGCUAACGCAUUAAGUGCCCCGCCUGGGGAGUACGGCCGCAAGGCUAA